UGAGCAAUCUGCACUUCUCAUCGGAAUAAGCGUUGGAAACGACGUCUAAUGCCGAAUACGACCUCCUUUCGCAUGAUCGGAGGUGGAAAGCUCCGGCGGAGAAGGAUGAGCUCGCGGCCUAUCAGCUAGUUGGUGUGGGUAAUGGCCCACCAAGGCGACGACGGGUAGCCGGCCUGAGAGGGUGACC
rnacentral:rRNA from 1 species